rnacentral:tRNA from 1 species
AUUAAAAUAGCUUAAAUUAUUAUCAAGCAAGGAUUUGUGGAAUCCUAGAUCCCAAAWGGGUUUUAAUU